rnacentral:rRNA from 1 species
UACGGAGGGGCUAGCGUUGUUCGGAAUUACUGGGCGUAAAGCGCGCGUAGGCGGCCCUGCAAGUCGGGGGUGAAAGCCCGAGGCUCAACCUCGGAACUGCCUUCGAUACUGCGGGUCUCGAGUCCGGGAGAGGUGAGUGGAAUUCCGAGUGUAGAGGUGAAAUUCGUAGAUAUUCGGAAGAACACCAGUGGCGAAGGCGGCUCACUGGACCGGCAUUGACGCUGAGGUGCGAAAGCGUGGGGAGCAAACAGG